rnacentral:rRNA from 1 species
GACGAACGCUGGCGGCGUGCUUAACACAUGCAAGUCGAACGGUGAACCGGGCUUCGGCCCGGGGAUCAGUGGCGAACGGGUGCGUAACACGUGGGCAACCUGCCCCAGACUCUGGGAUAACUCCGGGAAACCGGGGCUAAUACCGGAUACUCCGCUCGGACGACAUCGUCUGAUCGGGAAAGCUCCGACGGUCUGGGAUGGGCCCGCGGCCUAUCAGCUUGUUGGCGAGGUAACGGCUCACCAAGGCGACGACGGGUAGCUGGUCUGAGAGGACGACCAGCCACACUGGAACUGAGAUACGGUCCAGAUUCCUACGGGAGGCAGCAGUGGGGAACCUUGCACAAUGGGCGGAAGCCUGAUGCAGCGACGCCGCGUGGGGACGAAGGCUUUCGAGUU